rnacentral:rRNA from 1 species
UCGCCUCCAUGAAGCUGGAAUCGCUAGUAACCGCGCAUCAGCCACGGCGCGGUGAAUACGUUCUCGGGUCUUGUACUCAAAAUUAAAGGCGCCCGGCAGUCAUAGAAUCUAAGUUGUUCAAAUCAACUCCUCCGCACGGGAGCGUAGCGAACGGGUAGGUCUUGCCUCGCGAGAGGAAGACUGAAGGAUCCUAGUAGCAAACGGCAGCCUAAUCAUACGAGAGGAAUGCGACCCAUGUGGUGAGUCAUGGGGAAGCAUCAAACAUCGCCUCGAUCAGGAUGUCUGGAAUAGAUUCUGUGGUGACCCGGGGAGAUCUCGUAACACGAUGAGGACUCAUGAUGAUUACGAGAAGUCAGCUGCGUCAUAGUACGUCCGAUACCAAAUCGGACCGAAGGACAAAACCGUUGAUCUCUGCUGAUUACAUCGUGGGAUUGACCGACGGUGAGGGGUGCUUCUACGCACUCAUCAAACCGCCGUUCAAUCGAAAUGGUGGAGGAAUCGUACAGCUCAGCUUCCUCGUGAAGCUUCGUGAGGAAGACUGGGAAGUGCUCGAUCAUGUUCGCGAUAUGCUCGGAUGCGGAGCAGUGUACUUUCAGCACGAAACGCGCGCGAACCACGCGCAGUGCUAUCGAUACACCGUUGGUUCGCACCGAGAUAUCAUCGGGCGAAUCAUCCCGUUCUUCCGAGCACAUCCUCUGCACACCGCGACGAAACGGGAAAGCUUUCGUAUCUUUUGUGCGAUCGCUUCGCUCGUAGAACGAGGUGCACACCAUACCGCAGAAGGCAUUGCCACGAUCAGGACAUUGAAGCAGCAGAUGAAUCAUCGGACUCGCGUAACGCGGGAAAUCCGCACACUACGUGGGAACGCGAAGUACCUCAACUAUCGCAAUCCGCCCGUCACGCCAAGAGAGGCGGGAAUUCCUGAAGACUCCCGAUCGGGGGUCCAAGGAAAGCCUGCUGAUAAGGGCGAAGUCGUAACAAGGCAGGGCUAGCGGAAGCUGGUCCUGGAUCACCUCCUUACUA